CGUCUUACAGUGACUGUUGGAUGACUUAUCAAAUCACUAUGGUAUGACUGGAAAACAAGAUGUAACAUUCAAUAUUGGUCCUAGGGAUCAUCCAAAGCAUUGUACAAACAGGGAGAGUACACAGAGGCGACUAUGGGGUCAGUAAAGUCAUUUUUCAGCUGCCAUCACUAGCCCAGAGUUUGAAAAGAUCUAACCCUCCACUACUACUGUCCAAAGACACUGGUGCCAAUUGAACUGUCGGAGGGAGAGGCGGAAUUCACAUGGAACUUUUUAGAAGUAUUAAUAAAUGUGGAUGGAAAUGAAGCUGUAAACACAAGAGGUCUGUGAUUGCAUUCUAAAUCUUAAAUACAAACCAUAGACUUGAAUUGUGGCAGAAACUAGAGCAACCGAACUAGCCCUUAUUCACCAAUGACAGAUUGCAAACAGGGAUACAUAACAAUGCUAACUGCAUUUAAGUCACUUAAAAGAACAUUGUGGCAGGUAGCACCUUAAUUGUAGCACCACGUCUCCAAAAUUUAGAUAAUAAGCCACAACGCAAACGAGGAAGACAAGAUCUCAUGUGCGGCAGUAUGCUAUUGUCCAUGUGGAUUCAAUAAUCUCACAGUGUA